AUUGAACGCUGGCGGCAGGCUUAACACAUGCAAGUCGAACGAUGAUUAUCUAGCUUGCUAGAUAUGAUUAGUGGCGGACGGGUGAGUAACAUUUAGGAAUCUGCCUAGUAGUGGGGGAUAGCUCGGGGAAACUCGAAUUAAUACCGCAUACGACCUACGGGUGAAAGGGGGCGCAAGCUCUUGCUAUUAGAUGAGCCUAAAUCAGAUUAGCUAGUUGGUGGGGUAAAGGCCCACCAAGGCGACGAUCUGUAACUGGUCUGAGGGGAUGAUCAGUCACACCGGAACUGAGACACGGUCCGGACUCCUACGGGAGGCAGCAGUGGGGAAUAUUGGACAAUGGGGGCAACCCUGAUCCAGCCAUGCCGCGUGUGUGAAGAAGGCCUUUUGGUUGUAAAGCACUUUAAGCAGGGAGGAGAGGCUAAUGGUUAAUACCCAUUAGAUUAGACGUUACCUGCAGAAUAAGCACCGGCUAACUCUGUGCCAGCAGCCGCGGUAAUACAGAGGGUGCGAGCGUUAAUCGGAAUUACUGGGCGUAAAGCGAGUGUAGGUGGCUCAUUAAGUCACAUGUGAAAUCCCCGGGCUUAACCUGGGAACUGCAUGUGAUACUGGUGGUGCUAGAAUAUGUGAGAGGGAAGUAGAAUUCCAGGUGUAGCGGUGAAAUGCGUAGAGAUCUGGAGGAAUACCGAUGGCGAAGGCAGCUUCCUGGCAUAAUAUUGACACUGAGACUCGAAAGCGUGGGUAGCAAACAGGAUUAGAUACCCUGGUAGUCCACGCCGUAAACGAUGUCUACUAGCCGUUGGGGUCCUUGAGACUUUAGUGGCGCAGUUAACGCGAUAAGUAGACCGCCUGGGGAGUACGGCCGCAAGGUUAAAACUCAAAUGAAUUGACGGGGGCCCGCACAAGCGGUGGAGCAUGUGGUUUAAUUCGAUGCAACGCGAAGAACCUUACCUGGUCUUGACAUAGUGAGAAUCCUGCAGAGAUGCGGGAGUGCCUCCGGGAAUUCACAUACAGGUGCUGCAUGGCUGUCGUCAGCUCGUGUCGUGAGAUGUUGGGUUAAGUCCCGCAACGAGCGCAACCCUUUUCCUUAUUUGCCAGCGGGUUAAGCCGGGAACUUUAAGGAUACUGCCAGUGACAAACUGGAGGAAGGCGGGGACGACGUCAAGUCAUCAUGGCCCUUACGACCAGGGCUACACACGUGCUACAAUGGUAGGUACAGAGGGUUGCUACACAGCGAUGUGAUGCUAAUCUCAAAAAGCCUAUCGUAGUCCGGAUUGGAGUCUGCAACUCGACUCCAUGAAGUCGGAAUCGCUAGUAAUCGCAGAUCAGAAUGCUGCGGUGAAUACGUUCCCGGGCCU
rnacentral:rRNA from 1 species